rnacentral:rRNA from 1 species
GCAUAGACGCUGUGCGGCAGCGCUUAACACAUGCAUGUCGAGCGGGGAAGGGUAGCUUGCUACCUGACCUAGCGGCGGACGGGUGAGUAAUGCUUAGGAAUCUGCCUAUUAGUGGGGGACAACAUUCCGAAAGGAAUGCUAAUACCGCAUACGCCCUACGGGGGAAAGCAGGGGAUCUUCGGACCUUGCGCUAAUAGAUGAGCCUAAGUCAGAUUAGCUAGUUGGUGGGGUAAAGGCCUACCAAGGCGACGAUCUGUAGCGGGUCUGAGAGGAUGAUCCGCCACACUGGGACUGAGACACGGCCCAGACUCCUACGGGAGGCAGCAGUGGGGAAUAUUGGACAAUGGGCGCACGCCUGAUCCAGCCAUGCCGCGUGUGUGAAGAAGGCCUUUUGAUUGUAAAGCACUUUAAGCGAGGAGGAGGCUACUUGGAUUAAUACUCUAGGAUAGUGGACGUUACUCGCAGAAUAUGCACCGGCUAACUCUGUGCCAGCAGCCGCGGUAAUACAGAGGGUGCGAGCGUUAAUCGCAUUUACUGGGCGUAAAGCGUGCGUGGGCGGCUUCUUAGUCGGAUGUGGAUCCCUGAGCUUACUAGGAUUGC